UGUCUGUUCCGGUAUGACAAAAUACUCUUUUCAAAUGCAAAAGUACUUUCUGGUGGUCAAAACAGUCAUCGUGAUAUGAGUCAAAACACAAAUGUUUGUCAAAUUUUAACCUUCACUGAUCAAGGGGUAGAUAAUAGCAGCCUUAACAGGAGGCCCGGAUGUUUUGAAUGGAUCCAUUUAGCUACACUUCACAAAGCAACAAAACCUUUCAAAUGCCAAUCUCAACACAAUGCCUGUCAGUUUAAUGUGCACCUGACUGUAAUUAUGCAAAUUUAAAGUAAUUAGUCAAACAACCUGUAGCCCUAAUGAGUUUUUGCAAAAGAGUACAAGCUAAUUUUGGAUAAUGAGCCUGACACUGUGAACUAAGAUGGAAACUGAGCUUCUGUUUUUUAAGGGAUUCCCAUAACCAGUCACAACCAGCCACAGACCUCUUUCUUAACAAAUGCCUCACAAAUUAUACAAAAAUAAGAAUUUUUUAUUUCCUGCCACAAACAUUCCUUGGUGUUACUAUUUUGGAUCAGGUCAUCUGUUGACCUGGCAGCCAAAUGUCAGGGUAGAGCACACAUGUCAGCUGCAGGUGGAAACUCUCAGCACUGGGUAAUGCUGGCAGGCACAGUCGGAGAGCCUUGGGUAAUACAGCACUAAGUGACUGCAGCUGGAGUCUGGAGAAGCUGCCAGAGUUCCCAUGACUGUUUUGUGUGUCACAGGAUUUUGGGAGAAAUGUGCAUGAUUUCAUCAAUGAGUUUGAGAAGCUGCACGAGUACUUCUGCUUCCUCAAGUUGCAGCCACCAAGUUUCUGUGUGGAGGAGGACUGUGACACGAGCCUCAUGCUGCACUACCGCACAACCCGCAAGGGCUUCACCUUGUUUGUCAAAGCAGGGCAGCUCUCCUAAGUGGGACGACAAUUUUACAACACAGAUAUUGAAGUAGAAAUCCUGUCUUAGAAGGAAACUGAGAAAAUGACAUAUGUGAUCGGCUUACAUGAAAUGGGACUUGCAUCUCGCACAGAUGCAAUUAAUGGAAACAAUGUAACAAGUUUUGAAUAUGUCAUGCAUGUUUCUUCCAGAGCCAAUAGUUAUUUGAUGUGUUUGAUUAGCUUCGUGAAGAUAAAUAUCUAUCUCCUAGAUCUUGUUAUUGUGUUGCUCUUAAUUCGUUAAGAGUAUGUAAUAAAAAAAAAAACUUUCU